rnacentral:rRNA from 1 species
CCUACGGGUGGCAGCAGUGAGGAAUAUUGGUCAAUGGGCGCGAGCCUGAACCAGCCAAGUCGCGUGAGGGAGGACGGCCCUACGGGUUGUAAACCUCUUUUGCCGGGGAGCAACGGGCGUCACGUGUGGCGCCACUGAGAGUACCCGGAGAAAAAGCAUCGGCUAACUCCGUGCCAGCAGCCGCGGUAAUACGGAGGAUGCGAGCGUUAUCCGGAUUUAUUGGGUUUAAAGGGUGCGUAGGCGGAUCGUUAAGUCAGUGGUCAAAUUGAGGGGCUCAACCCCUUCCCGCCAUUGAAACUGGCGGGCUAGAGAGCAGGAGAGGGCGGUGGAACUCCAUGUGUAGCGGUAAAAUGCGUAGAUAUAUGGAAGAACACCAGUGGCGAAGGCGGCCGCCUGGCCUGUUACUGACGCUGAGGCACGAAAGCGUGGGGAGCAAAUAGGAUUAGAUACCCGUGUAGUC